AUGUAAAUUCCUACAAUAGAGCGUUAAUGCAUUGGAUCCCAUUAGAAAUCCACAGUUAAGUGCGUUCAGGCUAGAGUAGUAUUGGGAUGGGUGACUUCCCAGCAAGUCCUAGUGUUUUACAUG
rfam:Picea glauca, whole genome shotgun sequence.